rnacentral:rRNA from 1 species
CCUACGGGCGACAGCAGUGAGGAAUAUUGGUCAAUGGACGAGAGUCUGAACCAGCCAAGUAGCGUGAAGGAUGACUGCCCUAUGGGUUGUAAACUUCUUUUAUAUGGGAAUAAAAUGUUCCACGUGUGGGAUUUUGUAUGUACCAUAUGAAUAAGGAUCGGCUAACUCCGUGCCAGCAGCCGCGGUAAUACGGAGGAUCCGAGCGUUAUCCGGAUUUAUUGGGUUUAAAGGGAGCGUAGGUGGAUUGUUAAGUCAGUUGUGAAAGUUUGCGGCUCAACCGUAAAAUUGCAGUUGAAACUGGCAGUCUUGAGUACAGUAGAGGUGGGCGGAAUUCGUUGUGUAGCGGUGAAAUGCUUAGAUAUCACGAAGAACUCCGAUUGCGAAGGCAGUUCACUGGACUGCAACUGACACUGAGGCUCGAAAGUGUGGGUAUCAAACAGGAUUAGAUACCCGGGUAGUC